rnacentral:ncRNA from 2 species
AUUAGAUUUAGUCUCCGAGCUAUCUUCCUAAGUCUGGAAUUUUCGGGAUAAGGAGGAUGGCCGUCAGGGUGUGAUUGGAAACGAUCAUACCUCCCGCGUUUGGAAAGGAGAUGGGAAUGAACCAAA